rnacentral:rRNA from 1 species
GAGUUUGAUCCUGGCUCAGGAUGAACGCUAGCGGGAGGCUUAACACAUGCAAGUCGAGCGGUAAGGCCCCUUCGGGGGCACACGAGCGGCGCACGGGUGCGUAACGCGUAUGCAACCUGCCUUAUACAGGGGGAUAGCCCAUGGAAACGUGGAUUAAUACCCCAUAAUAUCGUUGAACCGCAUGGUUUACCGAUUAAAAUUCCGAUGGUAUAAGAUGGGCAUGCGUCUGAUUAGCUAGUUGGUGGGGUAACGGCCCACCAAGGCCACGAUGUCUAGGGGUCCUGAGAGGGUUAUCCCCCACACUGGUACUGAGACACGGACCAGACUCCUACGGGAGGCAGCAGUAAGGAAUAUUGGUCAAUGGGCGCAAGCCUGAACCAGCCAUGCCGCGUGCAGGAAGACGGCCCUAUGGGUUGUAAACUGCUUUUAUCAGGGAAUAACCCUUCGUACGUGUACGGAGCUGAAGGUACCUGAAGAAUAAGCAUCGGCUAACUCCGUGCCAGCAGCCGCGGUA